rnacentral:rRNA from 1 species
GAUAAAUGCUGGCGGCGUGCCUAAUACAUGCAAGUCGAGCGGAAAGGCCCCUUCGGGGGUACUCGAGCGGCGGACGGCUUAGUAACGCGUAGGAAUGUACCCCAAAGUGAGGAAUAACCCCGAGAAAUCGGGGCUAAUGCCGCAUGUGCUCUUCGGAGUAAAGCUUUAUGCGCUUUGGGAACAGCCUGCGUCCGAUUAGCUAGUUGGUGAGGUAAUGGCUCACCAAGGCGACGAUCGGUAGCUGGUCUGAGAGGAGGAUCAGCAAGACUGGGACUGAGACACGGCCCAGACUCCUACGGGAGGCAGCAGUAGGGAAUUUUCCACAAUGGGCGAAAGCCUGAUGGAGCAACGCCGCGUGCAGGAUGAAGGCUUUCGGGUCGUAAACUGCUUUUAUUUGCGAUGAAUUUGACAGUAGCAAAAGAAUAAGGAUCGGCUAACUACGUGCCAGCCGCCGCAGUAAGAC